rnacentral:rRNA from 1 species
GGGUUGUGAGGUUAAGCGACUAAGCGUACACGGUGGAUGCCCUGGCAGUCAGAGGCGAUGAAGGACGUGCUAAUCUGCGAUAAGCGUCGGUAAGGUGAUAUGAACCGUUAUAACCGGCGAUUUCCGAAUGGGGAAACCCAGUGUGUUUCGACACACUAUCAUUAACUGAAUCCAUAGGUUAAUGAGGCGAACCGGGGGAACUGAAACAUCUAAGUACCCCGAGGAAAAGAAAUCAACCGAGAUUCCCCCAGUAGCGGCGAGCGAACGGGGAGCAGCCCAGAGCCUGAAUCAGUGUGUGUGUUAGUGGAAGCGUCUGGAAAGGCGCGCGAUACAGGGUGACAGCCCCGUACACAAAAAUGCACAUGCUGUGAGCUCGAUGAGUAGGGCGGGACACGUGGUAUCCUGUCUGAAUAUGGGGGGACCAUCCUCCAAGGCUAAAUACUCCUGACUGACCGAUAGUGAACCAGUACCGUGAGGGAAAGGCGAAAAGAACCCCGGCGAGGGGAGUGAAAAAGAACCUGAAACCGUGUACGUACAAGCAGUGGGAGCACGCUUAGGCGUGUGACUGCGUACCUUUUGUAUAAUGGGUCAGCGACUUAUAUUCUGUAGCAAGGUUAACCGAAUAGGGGAGCCGAAGGGAAACCGAGUCUUAACUGGGCGUUAAGUUGCAGGGUAUAGACCCGAAACCCGGUGAUCUAGCCAUGGGCAGGUUGAAGGUUGGGUAACACUAACUGGAGGACCGAACCGACUAAUGUUGAAAAAUUAGCGGAUGACUUGUGGCUGGGGGUGAAAGGCCAAUCAAACCGGGAGAUAGCUGGUUCUCCCCGAAAGCUAUUUAGGUAGCGCCUCGUGAAUUCAUCUCCGGGGGUAGAGCACUGUUUCGGCAAGGGGGUCAUCCCGACUUACCAACCCGAUGCAAACUGCGAAUACCGGAGAAUGUUAUCACGGGAGACACACGGCGGGUGCUAACGUCCGUCGUGAAGAGGGAAACAACCCAGACCGCCAGCUAAGGUCCCAAAGUCAUGGUUAAGUGGGAAACGAUGUGGGAAGGCCCAGACAGCCAGGAUGUUGGCUUAGAAGCAGCCAUCAUUUAAAGAAAGCGUAAUAGCUCACUGGUCGAGUCGGCCUGCGCGGAAGAUGUAACGGGGCUAAACCAUGCACCGAAGCUGCGGCAGCGACGCUUAUGCGUUGUUGGGUAGGGGAGCGUUCUGUAAGCCUGCGAAGGUGUGCUGUGAGGCAUGCUGGAGGUAUCAGAAGUGCGAAUGCUGACAUAAGUAACGAUAAAGCGGGUGAAAAGCCCGCUCGCCGGAAGACCAAGGGUUCCUGUCCAACGUUAAUCGGGGCAGGGUGAGUCGACCCCUAAGGCGAGGCCGAAAGGCGUAGUCGAUGGGAAACAGGUUAAUAUUCCUGUACUUGGUGUUACUGCGAAGGGGGGACGGAGAAGGCUAUGUUGGCCGGGCGACGGUUGUCCCGGUUUAAGCGUGUAGGCUGGUUUUCCAGGCAAAUCCGGAAAAUCAAGGCUGAGGCGUGAUGACGAGGCACUACGGUGCUGAAGCAACAAAUGCCCUGCUUCCAGGAAAAGCCUCUAAGCAUCAGGUAACAUCAAAUCGUACCCCAAACCGACACAGGUGGUCAGGUAGAGAAUACCAAGGCGCUUGAGAGAACUCGGGUGAAGGAACUAGGCAAAAUGGUGCCGUAACUUCGGGAGAAGGCACGCUGAUAUGUAGGUGAAGUCCCUCGCGGAUGGAGCUGAAAUCAGUCGAAGAUACCAGCUGGCUGCAACUGUUUAUUAAAAACACAGCACUGUGCAAACACGAAAGUGGACGUAUACGGUGUGACGCCUGCCCGGUGCCGGAAGGUUAAUUGAUGGGGUCAGCGCAAGCGAAGCUCUUGAUCGAAGCCCCGGUAAACGGCGGCCGUAACUAUAACGGUCCUAAGGUAGCGAAAUUCCUUGUCGGGUAAGUUCCGACCUGCACGAAUGGCGUAAUGAUGGCCAGGCUGUCUCCACCCGAGACUCAGUGAAAUUGAACUCGCUGUGAAGAUGCAGUGUACCCGCGGCAAGACGGAAAGACCCCGUGAACCUUUACUAUAGCUUGACACUGAACAUUGAGCCUUGAUGUGUAGGAUAGGUGGGAGGCUUUGAAGUGUGGACGCCAGUCUGCAUGGAGCCGACCUUGAAAUACCACCCUUUAAUGUUUGAUGUUCUAACGUGGACCCGUGAUCCGGGUUGCGGACAGUGUCUGGUGGGUAGUUUGACUGGGGCGGUCUCCUCCUAAAGAGUAACGGAGGAGCACGAAGGUUGGCUAAUCCUGGUCGGACAUCAGGAGGUUAGUGCAAUGGCAUAAGCCAGCUUGACUGCGAGCGUGACGGCGCGAGCAGGUGCGAAAGCAGGUCAUAGUGAUCCGGUGGUUCUGAAUGGAAGGGCCAUCGCUCAACGGAUAAAAGGUACUCCGGGGAUAACAGGCUGAUACCGCCCAAGAGUUCAUAUCGACGGCGGUGUUUGGCACCUCGAUGUCGGCUCAUCACAUCCUGGGGCUGAAGUAGGUCCCAAGGGUAUGGCUGUUCGCCAUUUAAAGUGGUACGCGAGCUGGGUUUAGAACGUCGUGAGACAGUUCGGUCCCUAUCUGCCGUGGGCGCUGGAGAACUGAGGGGGGCUGCUCCUAGUACGAGAGGACCGGAGUGGACGCAUCACUGGUGUUCGGGUUGUCAUGCCAAUGGCACUGCCCGGUAGCUAAAUGCGGAAGAGAUAAGUGCUGAAAGCAUCUAAGCACGAAACUUGCCCCGAGAUGAGUUCUCCCUGACUCCUUGAGAGUCCUGAAGGAACGUUGAAGACGACGACGUUGAUAGGCCGGGUGUGUAAGCGCAGCGAUGCGUUGAGCUAACCGGUACUAAUGAACCGUGAGGCUUAACCUUACAACGCCGAAGCUGUU